ACGCUCGACACCUACGGGAGACAGCAGUGGGGAAUAUUGCACAAUGGGGGAAACCCUGAUGCAGCGACGCCGCGUGAGCGAAGAAGUAUUUCGGUAUGUAAAGCUCUAUCAGCAGGGAAGAAACUGACGGUACCUGACCAAGAAGCACCGGCUAAAUACGUGCCAGCAGCCGCGGUAAUCUGAGCGGGCUGGCAAGGC
rnacentral:rRNA from 1 species